UGGCUUUCCAACCCCUAAGGCUAAACGCAGCACCCUAAGGAAAGGCUCAGGUGAGAGGAGCCGGCGAACUGUUCUUCCACCAUAAUGAUAAUGACUAAGAGGACACUUUACGGUUUACAAACACUCCCCAAAACAUCAUCAUACUUGAUUAUACUAGCACAGUGAAAGAAUGAAUAUGGCCAAAAUUCUGGGAAAAUAAACCGGAGAAACCCAAAGUCAGAAAAAUUGGAGUUAUGUGAAAAGUGGGGUUCUGUGAGCUGGAUUUACAGGAGGAUUUCUAAAAUUUAUUUAAGGAACAGUUAGGAGCAGGUUUCUCAAACAUGUGCCCAUGCUCAAAUGCUGAAAAUGCAAACUGGAGAUCAGUAAGGC